AGUUUUCCCUGUACAAGCUCUCGCCUGCCGCCAUGUAAACGUUCUUUGCUCCUGCUUCGUCUUCUGCCGUGAUUGUGAGGCCUCCCCAGCCAUGUGGAACUACUCAUCACUCACUGCAGAUGUUACUUUAAGACAUUCUGGAGCAGCGUCAUGUGCAGGAACAAUAAGGAAGUGAGUGCUUUUGUAAUUCCUGAACAACUGUGUCUUACACUUACUAAGGGAUUCAUGGGCAAUAUGACUGAAUAGGAACAGCUCCAGUCUGAAGCUCCCAGUGAGACCAACAUAGAAGUUCUCUUGCCUGCCACCAUGUAAGAUAUGCUUUUACUCUUCCGCCUUCCACCGUGACUGUGAGGCCUCCCCAGCCAUGUGAAACUGCCUUUGAGCUUAUACUGAAUUAUACCACCAGCUUUCCUAGGUCUUGAAGCUUACAGACAGCAGAUCUUGGGACUUCUCAGGCACCAUAAUCAAUCAUAGAUAAAUGAUCCAAUGAUUCGGAACUUGAAAAGUGGUAGCUUUAUGAAUUCUCCUUAAGAAGAAACCUGUGCCCUGAUCUUGCCUACUCACCCAAAGGCACUGUGAGAUAGCAUCAAAGGAACAGCUAGUAAGAGACACAGAGCCAGAAAUCAGGGAAGUAAAAUACACUUGACAUCUACGUUCGGAAAGAAAUUUUAGGAGGCAGAAGCAAAUGGAUCAGAAGCUGCUUAUAUUUUUGCAAGAUUACCAAAGAAACCAUUGGUGGAGAAAGUUCUGUGACCAACUUGUCUGAGUCUAGUAAGAUUGAACGCUCACACACAAGUUUCAUGAAGUGGGUUUGAUACUUACAGAUAAGCAGCAAGGACCAACAGAAGCUGAUGAUCUAUGGUGAACUUUUUCCCAAGGCUCCGGAAAGCUGCCUAAAGUAGAUGGAGUCUUCUCUGUGUGUGCCCCACUGGUCCUGCAGUUGAAGGAUCCGGUAAAGCAGCCUGCCCUUGGUUUUAUACUCCAGAGGAACGUGAUUCGCUGGACUAAAGCAUUGAAGUGCAUCCUGUUUCCGGGGGGCACUGGAACAGAGCCUGGUCUGUUCUAGCCAGUCCCUUUCUAUCUCAGGAUAACAUUCUACAGUUAUUCUUGAGAACUAUAAUCAAAUAAGCAGGGAGAACUGGAGGCUCAUUGUGGAACCCUCAAGGAGCAUGGGGUCGUCUUCAUCCCUCAGUUUAUAAAUGGCCAAGGAGAGUAAUGCAACAAAAACUUCUCAGAGUUAAAAGCCAGAGUUCCUAAAGAACCGUGGACAAAGGGUUCUGUCUAGUGGGCAGAAUUCAUCCAGCGAAGGUGCUUACUGCACUCCCAGCAUGUGCUUGGGAACUUUAUUAAAAUUCCUUCCUAUUGAGAUUUAAAUUGCUGUCCAGAAUUAUACAAUAUAAUGAAUGGGGGCAUUCAUUAUGUGUAUUCUAUGCCUUCUCCAUCAUUGCAUAUUCAGUCCUCGUGCUAGAGAGAGGCAGAUAAUCUACCUUUUAAAUUGAUAGGUCUCCUAACUACAGAGGGUCACAUCUGGAUCUGAUGGCACCUACAGAACUUGGACUCUGAGCGACAAUCAGUGACCAGGUGUGACUUUAUAUUAUCUCUGUCAGGGAAGGGUGAGAGUUUUCAAUGUGUGAACAUAGAAUAAAAUGGUCUGGUGACCAAAAGGCUCUAUUAAAGAUAAUAUGAGAUGUUCAAAACACUGGCUAUUUUCUUGGGAACAAAAGUUGAACUUCUAAAUCUUUCUCACAGAUUGUAGACCAAAGGAAUGAAUUCUGAUUGGCAGAAUAUAAGCCUACGUAAUAUAAAAAAGACUUCCAGGUUUGGCCCUCUGAGUCUUGACUCAUUACACACCAUCUCACAGCCUUAUUUUGCCUUUCAACAGGAAAUUUGGAACCCAGGUUUUCCCAACCUACAUCUACAAAAUGGAAUGGGUCUGAUUCGCAAGUUUUCAGAGAAAGAAGCCAACCUUAAUCAGACUGUGAUAUGAUGAGGAAAUAAAACUUGCUGUGCUAAUCAA
ensembl:lncRNA LINC02241 long intergenic non-protein coding RNA 2241